GUGGGGAAUAUUGGGCAAUGGGCGAAAGCCUGACCCAGCAACGCCGCGUGAAGGAAGAAGGUUUUCGGAUCGUAAACUUCUAUCCUUGGUGAAGAUAAUGACUGUAGCCGGAGAAGAAGCCCCGGCUAACUUCGUGCCAGCAGCCGCGGUAAUACGUAGGGGGCAAGCGUUGUCCGGAAUGAUUGGGCGUAAAGGGCGCGUAGGCGGCCCGGUAAGUCUGAAGUGGAAGUCCUGCUUUUAAGGUGGGAAUUGCUUUGGAUACUGUCGGGCUUGAGUGCAGGAGAGGUAAGCGGAAUUCCCGGUGUAGCGGUGAAAUGCGUAGAGAUCGGGAGGAACACCAGUGGCGAAGGCGGCUUACUGGACUGUAACUGACGCUGAGGCGCGAAAGUGUGGGGAGCAAACAGGAUUAGAUACCCCAGUAGUCC
rnacentral:rRNA from 1 species